ACGUGCCGUAUUGCUAGGUAGCCAGAUGUUGCAAACUGAUGAACUGCCAUGCGCAGAACAAUGGCAUGCACAAGCUAGACCGGUGAAAUACUCUGGUUACUGCAGUAGUUGCGUGUGAAGAAGUAAAAGAACUGCAGGUACUGAAUUUAGAAGUCACGCUUCUCUGUGUACUGAUACCCUGCUCUUUCUACUAGUACAUACACUUCUUUUGUAAUUUGUCUGAAGCAUGCAUUCCUGUCCAGAACCCAAAUGCCAGCUUUGCCUUGUGCAUGCAUUCAACGACACCUGACCUAACUACACUCUACAUCCUUAGCUUUCAUUUGUCUGACCACUAUCUUGACAUCAGAAACAAACCAAGCUUACAUUUUUCAGAGUGUCUUUGUUAUUUUACAGAGUGGCUUCUGCAAAUGCCAUAAGAAGCAUCUAUCUGCAGAACAAGUGGAACCACAAUCCUGCAGCAGAAGCAGAUUACUCACAAUAUACAGUUCUUCUUCCCAGCAUAUACAGGUCGCAAACAGUAAUGGCUCAUUGAUGUACAGAGAGUUUUUUUUCAAAAAGGGGAAUGACCCCGGCCUCUGCAUCAUCAUGACGCGCACAACCAUUGAUGUACAGAUAGUAUAACUAGCUUCUUCUUUUUUUCUGCGAGGUGUCUAACUAGCUUCUGAUCAGCUCAAAACAGGCUUGUCUUGCCUCCUCAUCGAUUUCUGAGCAUUUUCGCCUGGUUAGCCAUUGUGGUGCAUGCUUGUACUUAAUUUACAUUGUCGGUCCUUGUGAAUUGUACAGCUCUAGCUGGCCACAAGUAUUUAUCCAUAUAUGGAUGUUUUGUUUGCUAAAAGAGACUUCUGAUCUGUUGAUUUCUGCAGGCGGCGGUGAUGAGACUAUUUGCAGCAGGUAGCAAUGGAAAUAAUAGAAGUCCAUCUUGCUGGGCAUUUCCGUGUGCAGUAAACGACAGCGCCCGGGAGUCUGAACCCCUCGUUUUCAUUCAGCCUCAGCACCAACACCUACAGGCAGGCUGGUGCCUGCGCAGAAUAGGCAGCACGACGAAGGUACUUGUUCGCACAAGCCUUGAGAUGACAAUGAGCAAAACAAAGUCUGGGCUGUAGCAUACUCUGUUUUGUGCUUGUUAUCGUAAAUCUACAAGCGUGUCCGUAUGAUUUGAGUGUGCAUGAGUAUCAAAUGGACAAACAAGGCAAGUACCUGGUGCAAAAAUGCUGAAUUUGGUCAGGCAAAAUGUUUUCUUUUUGUCCAAAUAGCUAGAACUUGACGGGAAAUUAAGCUACAGCACUACAUGUUGGAAAAUGUGUUGAUAUUCAUAUUCUAUACAUCCAUUAUUGUUGAAAUCGCCCAAGGAAUGAAUCCACAGCUUUACCAAACCAGGCAACUGACAGAGGGUUCAGAACAUCAGUAGUUGAGUACAUCGCAUUGCCCUGUAGCUGCAGCAGGACGAGAUGGAACGGGAUGGUGGGAAAUGGAAAGGGAUGGUCUUACCCGGUGGGGGAUCUCCUCGGCUGUCUAUCGGAGUCCACUCAUCUGAGCUCCUGCUGCCGCCAUAGGUGAAGGUUAGGUAGAGCUGAGUGAGAGGAAACAAAUCAAUCAUUCCAGCUAGUCAGGGGUUUGUCGCGAGAGAAGAGAAGAAAUAGGGGAAGGAGAAAGGCUGAACUUGGGACAGUUCCAGGAGUCUACGACCACUGCGAGACGCUCAGGCCCAGGUGGACAAGUACCCGGGUGCUAGCCACAGAGGGUUCGACAGCAGAGCCGAAGCAGACAGUAGUUACUUGAGGUGAACGCUCCGGCAAGAGCGGGGGCGGGACCGCCGGUGCCAAAAGUACUACAUAGUCGCGCUCUUGCUCAUGUUGAUCGCUAUUCUCUUCUACAUCAUGGUUUAGAUAGAGAUGAUGAAACUUGUGUGUGUGCCAUGACCAUGCAGUUGCACUUAUUCGAGACAUGGCAUGACUUGUGUAUCGCUGUUUUAGAGAUGUGAUGAUAUUUGUGUUGAAUGAUGAUGAUGAUGAUGGUAUGA